rnacentral:misc_RNA from 1 species
UGUGAGGUUGCCGUGAUGGAA